GAUGAAUUGAACAGACAGAAGUAACAUUUUAUAUACACAUGUGCAUGGGAGCACGCUUAAAGAGAACAGUGUAACAA
rnacentral:snRNA from 1 species